UUCUGGGGCGGCGCUCGGCUCUGCCGUGUUCGCUCCCGCUGCGGCGUUCCGGGCCCGCUUUCGCUUCUCCUGGGUAGCGCAGAGCUCGUCGGUCUGUGGCUGUUGCGGUUGUGUCUCGCGGGGCAGCCUCAGGAUGAAACGGCGGCGGGUGGGCGCGGCUCGGCUCCGUGCUGUCCCUUCUCGGGCGGCGGGCCGUGGGAGGGAGCGGCGGUUUUGUUUUCGGCUUCCACCAAGCCUAAGUUUUACGUGUGUGCUGCCCCACAUCUUCUCGGAAAGCUCUUGGCUUUGUGUGCUUCAGAAGGAUUCAGCUUUAGCUUGCUUGAUGCCUAUCUCUUGCUGAUAAGUGACUCGGGCCCCUCGUGUGUGCAGUCAGUGCUGGAGCUUCUUUCCUGCAUCAGAACUCCCAGGCCAGACAAUGCAGAUGGGACAUUAUCUGAUUAUUGAAUCAGAGAAUCAAAAAAUUGAAUGCUCAAAUUCUCAAGACCCCUCAGUCACAAGGACUACAUGCAGUUCCUCCUGUGGUUCUAGAGAAUGAAGAGGCUGAGCUGCUGAGAAUGCCUCUGCUUAGGAGGUGAUGCUGUGCCAGAAGACUGAGAGCUGUCAGUUGGUGUAUGUGCUGCACUUCUGAACUGAACUUAUCUGGAAUUUGCAGACCAAGGAUUCAUAUUUUAAUGCCAGGCUAACUGAUGUAAAUACUUGAGUACAGUCAAGCAGUUCUGUGAGCACACAGAUCUAAUAGAGCCUAGUUUCCUACAUAGCUAUGUGCCUUAGAGGUACCAGCUGGUGCUGGGAUGUUUAUAAGCUGUUUCUAUUAUGUCUGUAUUAAUGUUUUAAUAGCGCGGGUACAUGCUGCAGCCUUUAGUCAGUUUGUGCAGUUUGUGGCUCUAUCUUUUCUAUUCACCUGUCCAGUGCUUGGAAUUCUGACAUCUCUGAACACAUACAAAACUGGAAAUGCUUUUUGCUUGCACUUCCACAAAACUGAAAUUGGGUAGUGGACUUAAAAGUUAUGAAGGGUCACACAGAACCUAGGUAGGCACAUUAAACAACAUUCAUCUUAUCUAUCUUUACCUGUCUGAACAGAUAAGCAGCAGGAGGGUCAUCUGUUCGGCACUUCCAACAAAAAUAAGGGUUUGUCAAGUUGUGCCUCAAGAGUCUAUAGUAGAAGUGUUUACUUUUGUCUUUAAAUAAGCAUCCGAAGUAAAAUUCUGUAUACGUUUGGUAAAAUUGGAGAAAUUUGUGAGGAACUGGAGGACAGUCUUCUAAAGAAAGAUGCGUUAGCGUAAUAAUGGUAGAUGUCAUUCAGUAGUUGCAGUUACAAAAUAACUCUUAGCAGAAGGAAUAACUGAACUACUUAAAGAGAUUUCUAAAUUACAAGUAAACGUUGCAAAAAUACAUUUAAGCUCCCAGAGGAAAAUAUCCUUAAGAAGUGUCCACUGUGAAAGAAGCAGCUUAAAAACUUAUUUUAGUGAUGCUCCUUAGUAGCUUUUUAAUGAAAGUUCCUUACUUAGUCAUCUCUGCUGAAAUGAACUGCCCAUCUGGUUUCAUUGCGAAAGCCAUUGAUGCUUACUUUACUGAUCAGUGUGUUUACGUAUCCUCUGGGUGUUUUUAAAUGCUGUUGAUAAAUAACAAGUUCUUGACAGAUAAAGUCUUUGCAGCUUACAUAAUUAAAAUAAUACUUCUGUAUUUCUCGCUUUUGGUUUUAUUUUCUUCGGGUUAUCUCUAAAUGCUCAAUAAUGGCAAUACAUUCAUUCUGCCAUUUGGAGGAGCCUGCGCCACAGAAUAAUGAUCUGAAGAGAGCUAAUGUAUUUGCAAGGAAGAGUCCUCAUUUGUGCAAUAGUGUUGAUGCAGCUAAGAGGUGCCUUGCCAAGUUCAGCACAGCCUGCCAUGCUUGGAUGGAGCCGUUUUUUCUUCAAAGAAUAAACAGAAUGCUGCAUCUAAAGAGUAAGAAGAAGGAUGCUUUCAAAGAUAAGGAUUUUGAAAUGAAGAACAAAAAAGGAGAAUGUUUUAUGAAAAAGAGUUUAUAAUGGACCAAAUAAAUGUGUAUGUUAUCUUUUAAAAAUAUUUAACUCAAGUGAAGCUCCUGUAUGGCAAGCCUCAAGACCAAGAAGUCUACUGGAAAUUUUUACCCAUAGUAUAAAGAAAUGUUCAGAUGUCCAAAUGCAAAUGAUUUAGAAGUAGUAACUAUUACACUCUUCAAGAUGCUUUAUGUGAUUCUAGUCUUCUAACUCAGUCAGCUGGGAGAUCCAGUCCUUAGAGACCUGAAGAUGUGCAAAACGCAGCUUGUCCAAUAUGUGUUACCCCAAAAAGAAUUAAGAUAAUUGAAGUCAGAAUAUCUGAACUUGGAUCACUUGCAAAAACCAUCUUGGUAGGCGUAGGUUGCUUGUCUGAAAUCUGUUCUGAAGCUUCAGUGCAAAGCAAACACAGCACUAAUGAUGGAUGUGAAUGGACAUCUUAAGGAUAACUGGAUAUGGCAUCUUCAGAAACAGUGGCAUUUUGAAAUCAGUGGCAAACAGCACAGUCAGUGCAUGCUGUCUGGUGCCAGCUGUGGGAUGCAGAAGCUGCGUGGGGAGAGACAGUGCUGGAGAUCAGACUGAAGACCAUUACACCUUCUGGAGCUGACAGGCACAAACAGGAAGGUCCCAGGCCCUAAUUCUGCGUCUGGUCAAAUGGACCUCGAGAGCCCUGGGGCCUGGUUGAGUUAAUGCAACAUGAGUGCCUGGAAGUUUCUACUCUGAAGAACUGACUUUAGGCAAAUUUGUAUUUCAUUUCCAUGUCUACUUGCUUCUAAUUCAUGAUAGUUGUCCUUUAAGGUGAUAUUGUUUUUGAGACUUGGCACAUCUACUUUCGUACCAUUUGUAUUCAGUGUUCCCUGAAUAUUGUCAGGCAGUUAAAACAUUUCUGUUGUGUCAUGUACCAAAAACUCUGGAUUGAUGUGAUUAGUGUUGCAUUUUUACAUGUCAUGUCUUCCUACUUAAAAUGGAGGAGAUAAUCACCUGUGUUUUCAGCAGUUGUGGUGUUUCUUUUACCUUAGCUUCUGGAGUUAACUACUGGGACUCUAUUCAGGGCAAUUUAAAGAUGCUGGUAGAUUUGUUUUUUGUUCUUCAGACACAAAAUACAUUUGUUAUUUUGCAAUGUGCUAUUUUCUUAGUAGCCUACUAUUACUACAAGCUUUCAAAAUGAUGAUAAUUCUGUGAUGCAGACCAGUAAAAUAAGUGGGAAAAGGCAGUAACUUUUACUAGCUCUCCUAUUGCUUUUCUAUUUUUGUGGAUGCAGUUACAUGUCAUACUCUACAACCGAGAGUGAAGACUUGCUUAUUUUUGUGAACUGGAUAACAUCUUUUAACUACAUGGGUUGCUGUUCCUGUCCUAUUCCAUAGGAAUCUUACAGUUUCAUUGUGUACUAAGGUUAGAUAGCCCCAGUACGAACUGGGAAGGACUUUGCAAAUAGAGUUAGAGGGGAAAAAUGGAUAUGCUCUGUCUCUACCUGUGUUAGUAUUUAUAUCAUAUAGACUUUUUAAUGCAAACAUGUAUCAACGUAGGAAAAUUAGUGGAUGAAAAUAUCCAACACUUUCUCUGUAUAUAGUAAAUCAGGAAUACCUCCUUUUUUUUUUUUUGUAGGCGUAUUAAAAUUGUUUCUAAGAACUCUGAAGUAUUUAACAACAUUUUGCAUAUUCCCAGAACAAUAGAGAAGCACUGCUGUUUUGCUUUAUAAAGGAGAAAAACAACCGUUCAAUCAGCAGUGAAGUCAGGGUUAUCAGUUGAGUCCUGCUGCCCUUUAACCUCAUGCCUCCAGCUCCAUUUCUUUCACAAAAGCCAAAGUUGCCAUUCUAAUCAAUUUCUUUCUAUUUCUGCA